AGUGAACGCUGGCGGUAGGCCUAACACAUGCAAGUCGAACGGCAGCACAGAGGAGCUUGCUCCUUGGGUGGCGAGUGGCGGACGGGUGAGGGAUACAUCGGAAUCUACUCUGUCGUGGGGGAUAACGUAGGGAAACUUACGCUAAUACCGCAUACGACCUACGGGUGAAAGCAGGGGACCUUCGGGCCUUGCGCGAUUGAAUGAGCCGAUGUCGGAUUAGCUAGUUGGCGGGGUAAAGGCCCACCAAGGCGACGAUCCGUAGCUGGUCUGAGAGGAUGAUCAGCCACACUGGAACUGAGACACGGUCCAGACUCCUACGGGAGGCAGCAGUGGGGAAUAUUGGACAAUGGGCGCAAGCCUGAUCCAGCCAUACCGCGUGGGUGAAGAAGGCCUUCGGGUUGUAAAGCCCUUUUGUUGGGAAAGAAAUCCAGCUGGCUAAUACCCGGUUGGGAUGACGGUACCCAAAGAAUAAGCACCGGCUAACUUCGUGCCAGCAGCCGCUGUAA
rnacentral:rRNA from 1 species